GAUAAAGCAUAUUAAUGUCAUUAUCAAUUGGGAACCCAUGUACGGUGGAAAAUUAAAUAGCAUGGACAAACCUGCCAUGCAGCAUCUUACACAACAUUCACAUGUUCCUGGAGAAAUUUGGGAGACUAUGUUACCAUCCCACAAUGCCAAGAAAUAACCUUGGUGAGAUGUUAAUAAAAUCCUAAACACUCUCCCCUUGCAAGGAUGAGUUGACUCAGAGUGAUAGUCCAUAGAGUGAUAGUUUUUAGCUCAGUGAUACUAGAUUCGUAUCAAUAUCAGUCAGAGCCA
rnacentral:misc_RNA from 1 species